GACAGAGGUGGCAAGCGUUGUCCGGAUUUACUGGGCGUAAAGCGCGUGUAGGCGGCCCUGCAAGUCGGGUGUGAAAUCCCAUGGCUCAACCAUGGAAGUGCACUCGAAACUGCAGGGCUAGAGUCCUGGAGAGGAAGGUGGAAUGCUUGGUGUAGAGGUGAAAUUCGUAGAUAUCAAGCGGAACACCGGUGGCGAAGGCGGCCUUCUGGACAGUGACUGACGCUGAGACGCGAAAGCGUGGGGAGCAAACAGG
rnacentral:rRNA from 1 species